UACGUAGGAGGCAAGCGUUGUCCGGAUUUACUGGGCGUAAAGCGCGCGCAGGCGGCAGUGCAAGUAAGGUGUGAAAUCUCCCUGCUCAACGGGGAGGGUGCAUUUUAGACUGCACAGCUAGAGGUCGGUAGAGGGGGGUGGAAUUGCUGGUGUAGCGGUGAAAUGCGUAGAGAUCAGCAGGAACACCCGUGGCGAAGGCGGCCCCCUGGGCCGGUACCUGACGCUGAGGCGCGAAGGCUAGGGGAGCGAACGGG
rnacentral:rRNA from 1 species